rnacentral:rRNA from 1 species
GACGAACGCCGGCGGCGUGCUUAACACAUGCAAGUCGAACGGAAAGGCCCUGCUUUUGUGGGGUGCUCGAGUGGCGAACGGGUGAGUAACACGUGAGUAACCUGCCCUUGACUUUGGGAUAACUUCAGGAAACUGGGGCUAAUACCGGAAAGGAGCUCCUGCUGCAUGGUGGGGGUUGGAAAGUUUCGGCGGUUGGGGAUGGACUCGCGGCUUAUCAGCUUGUUGGUGGGGUAGUGGCUUACCAAGGCUUUGACGGGUAGCCGGCCUGAGAGGGUGACCGGCCACAUUGGGACUGAGAUACGGCCCAGACUCCUACGGGAGGCAGCAGUGGGGAAUAUUGCACAAUGGGCGGAAGCCUGAUGCAGCAACGCCGCGUGCGGGAUGACGGCCUUCGGGUUGUAAACCGCUUUCGCCUGUGACGAAGCGUGAGUGACGGUAAUGGGUAAAGAAGCACCGGCUAACUACGUG